GUCAAGUCAGCAUGGCUCUUACGUCCUGGGCCACUCGCACGCUACAAUGGGCAGUACAGACCGUCGCGAAACCGCGAGGUGGAGCCAAUCGGACAAAGCUGUCCUCAGUUCGGAUUGCAGGCUGCAACUCGCCUGCAUGAAGUCGGAGUUGCUAGUAACCGCAGGUCAGCCAUACUGCGGUGAAUACGUUCCCGGGCCUU
rnacentral:rRNA from 1 species